UACGUAGGGGGCAAGCGUUAUCCGGAUUUACUGGGUGUAAAGGGGGCGCAGACGGCGAUGCAAGCCAGGAGUGAAAGCCCGGGGCCCAACCCCGGGACUGCUCUUGGAACUGCGUGGCUGGAGUGCAGGAGGGGCAGGCGGAAUUCCUGGUGUAGCGGUGAAAUGCGUAGAUAUCAGGAGGAACACCGGUGGCGAAGGCGGUUUACUGGACCACAACUGACGCUGAGACACGAAAGCGUGGGUAUCGAACAGG
rnacentral:rRNA from 1 species